ensembl:snoRNA
UCUGGCUGUAAUGACACUUGCCCUCACUGAGAGGAGUGCCUCGAUAAUGAGAACACCGUAGUACUCAACUUCUGAGCCAUG